rnacentral:tRNA from 1 species
GGAGGGGUCGCAUAGUGGCCUAGUGCACCCGCCUGCUAAGCGGGAGGGCUGAAAGGCCCACGCGGGUUCGAAUCCCGCUCCCUCCGCCA